AUUCCUCCCCCCCCCUACAGAACGGCCAUCGAAAGGAACUGAAUGAAACGGAGGACUGCGAUUCCCGAAAGCCACCGCGGCUGGGCUUCUGAGCUACGGGUCGUGAGAGGAGUCAAGAAACGCCCACCUGCUGCUGUCCCUGCGCGUACAGGUGUGCAGGUGGUCAGGGGCUGAUGCGGGAGGGAGGAGGCAGAGGAUGGAGGAGAAGGCCCUGCGCAGCGGGAGCAGCUCCAACAGCACCCAGCCCCAUCUGGAGAAGCUGACCCUGGGGGUGACCCGCAUCCUAGGUACUCUAUAACAUCAAUUACAUUCCUUAUGUUGUCCUUCAUCUGAAGUCCUGGAAGAAAUCCUACUUGAUCAUGAUGUACUAUUUCUAAUAAAUUCAUUCUCUUUGCAAAUAUUUUGUAAUCGUUGUUUAAUAACAAGAUCUGCCUGUAGUUCCUAAUCAAUAAUAAAUCUGCCUCUUGCUUCGGGAUUAAUGUAAUAAAAGCCUCUUUUAAUGUCUCUGGUACCUUACCUAAGUUUAGAAUUUCAUUCAUUACAUUUUGCUAUGGUUGCACCAGAGAAUUAUGUGGGGGUAUUUUUGUAAUAUUUUGCUGUCAGGCUAUCAGGUCCUGGUGAUUUCCCUGCCUUUGCUUGAUUACGUAAUUGCGUCCAAAAUCUCCGACCAGCUCCUC